rnacentral:rRNA from 1 species
UACGUAGGGUGCAAGCGUUAUCCGGAUUUACUGGGCGUAAAGCGUACGCAGGCGGCUUUGCAAGUCAGGUGUGAAAUCCCCGGGCCUAACCUGGGAACUGCAUUUGUGACUGCAUAGCUAGAGUCUGUCAGAGGGGGGUGGAAUUCCACGUGUAGCAGUGAAAUGCGUAGAGAUGUGGAAGAACACCGAUGGCGAAGGCGGCCCCCUGGGAUGAGACUGACGCUCAUGUACGAAAGCGUGGGGAGCAAACAGG